ensembl:snoRNA Gm24403 small nucleolar RNA SNORA17
CCUGUCCCUAGAGGUGUAGCAGAUGUGGCUGCUGUGUCACGUGUGAGUCAGUAGGUGGCAGAGAGAAGAGAGGCUAUGUCUGCCCAGUAUUCUGACCUGUGAACAUCCGAAUGAUUAGUAGCCUAAUUCC